UGACUUUGCAGGAAACCCUGAAUGUUAUCAAGAAAAUAGAAACUCUGAACUAGUCUUUUCUGCAGAAACAAGAAAGCUCCAUAGACUGACAUAUGUUCCUCAGGAUUACAGAACUGAGAGCUGGCCACUGGAUAUGAGCUGGAGUUGAAGCAGCCAUCUGAGACCAUGAGGUUAAAGCAAUGCUUCAAAACGGCAGCAUAGUAAUAAGAAAAGAGCCCAGGUCCUGGACACCGUGGAUACCAAAUCAGCCCUUGACUGCUUAUCUCAGGAAAUUUUCUUCAAUAUCAAGCUGAUACUAGCUGGCUACAAAGGUAUAAUCAGUUAUCCAGAACUACAAUGAUGUAGGCCCAAUCAUCCGCAAAUAUGGGAGAGUUCAAGAGAUGUGUUCUUCCAGUUCAAGGGGCAAACAGAACCCAAAUGAAGUUAAGUGAAUGCUCAGCCUGGAUCACCACAUGUUUAUGACCCAACCUGACCUCAGGAUAUGGAAGGACCCUUGGAGAGUGAACCCAAACUCAAUUAAAAUUAUUUUUUCUAGAAAAUAAAGACUCAAUUUUUCAAGUAUAUUACU